UAGAUCGAAAACUGUUUACAAACAACAGAAGCAGCUGUAUCGCACAAUUAGGUUUUCACGGUGCGAAACGAUAAAUUUUAUCUCAAAAAGUCUCAAAAAGACUUCAAUGAUCAUCAAAAUUUCACACACUAGCAGCUGGAGGUGCUCAAGGAUCCGGUACAAACAGCAGCAUCAGCUAAAACAGUAAACAUCUCCUACCUAAACUUCCAGAACGUUCUCACCGCAUUCUGUUAGUUUAUAUGGGAUUCGUCGACCUCUGUCCUAUACUGACUUCGAUCAAAACAAUCAACGAUUCUACGAAACGGAAAUAACGAACAAAAAUUUUUUAAAGUGUGUGUUAAUUUUAAGCUUAAUUGGACUUGUGUAUGCUAAUUUGCUGGAAUUAUAACGGAAAAGCAUGUGCUAAUAAAUAUGAAGUGUGUGAAUAUGAAGUGUGUGGCCCAUCGGCAGAAUGAUAGCUAUAGCUAAAGGUUUCAGUUAAAUUCUUGGCUAACUUGAUUAACCCUUCCAUUGUUGUUUUCAUCAGGAAUCUAUGAAGUUUCAGCUUGCUAAUCAGCUAUAAAUGCUGGAAACAAUUUCUUACAGGAACAGGUGCCACUAACAGCUGAAAUCGAAAUGAUUGUGACGUGUACGUGGGCAUUUCGAGAAUAUUUAGCUAGAUGUUGAUCUAGAGUAUUCCUAAGGCUUCUAUGUAUACCAAGCAAUAGGAGUUAAAGCAACGUAAAGCUAUGGUGAUGUGUCUGGGAAACGGAAACACGUGACGAUAUUUAAAGCAAUGGAUUGUAAAACAACAUUUCCCCAUGAAGUGUAACAGCAUCACACACGGAUCAAUGUUAUAACAGACGAAUAUACUGAUUGUACAAUGUUUCAAACAUCCUUUAAAUACUACAAGUCGAGGAAUCCUCCACCUACGUUCGAGAAUGUGCUACUUAUCGGUACUGAUCAACCUAAUCUAAAGCCGGUGCAGUUGACUCAUGACAAUGAAAGCAUUUUUUCUGGUCUAUACCCACCGAACGACUGGAAAAUAUAUGAACUAUGUUCCAGGCCGGGAUUGCUUCUGCUAGCCAAUCCGUUCACGUGCGAGGGUCAACGGUACUGGAUGAAGCGAAGCUUGGUAAACUAUCCGAUGCACCCGAACACUACCAACCAAAGCAACGCGAGCCAAUCGACCCAGCAAGUUCAAUGGUGGAAAAUGGUUCAAAGUAUCACGGAUGCAACGGAACGUAAGAAGUUCGCCCAAAAACUUCGUUGGACCACAUUAGGCUAUCAGUAUGAUUGGACACAUAAGAUAUACGACGAAACACGAAAGGAAAACUUCCCGUCUGAGCUACGCGCGCUAGUGCAAUACGUGGCCACCGUGCUUGGUUACAAUCGGUUUUCACCAGAAGCGGCGAUAGUUAAUUAUUAUCCCAUCGGCUCAACGCUUGCUGGUCACACAGAUCAUUCAGAAGAUGAUCGUACAGCGCCAUUGUUUUCCUUCAGCUUUGGACAGCCCGCUGUAUUUCUAAUCGGUGGCCUUAGUCGCGAUGAGCAACCGGAUGCUAUCUUGCUACGAAGCGGUGACAUUAUCGUUAUGACUGGUGAAAGUAGGCUGUGUUAUCAUGCGGUACCUCGUGUUUGUGCGGAUUUGGAGCUUCCUGAUAACAUGGGAAACAGUGCCAAACGUUGGGAUCCGAAUGAUGUCUCAGUAGAGCAGCACGACGAUGAGAUGUGGAAUGAUGUCGAGCAAUACAUUCAGUACAGCCGCAUCAACAUAAACUGUUGGUUUUUCAACGAUCGGCACACACGCACGUCAUCGACCUGCCGAAGUGGCAAACAAAUGAUGGCGUCCAAGAUUGGUACUACGGGCGAAUGACAUGGGUUAGAAAGGUGUGAGUAAUAAUUAGAUAUUUGUACAAGAAAUAUGGUUUUAUGCUGAUUUUGUUAUUUGCAUGCAGGAUGCAAGGAUGCAGGAAUACUCAAAUAUUGUUUUGCAAUCAUUUAAAGUGUCGGGUACACGGCUUCUCUUUCCUUCCUCCAAAUAAAUGGAUCACUUUUCACAUGCAGAUUUUGUUCCGAAAUGUAACGAUCCAGCUCAAGAGCCGAAAGAAUUCUUGAGCUAGAUACAUUCUGUGUACGGUGAACUUUUUUAAGGGGUUGCCAAAUAUCAUCAUCACUAUCGUUAUCGUUAACUUUGUCAUCUGAUAUCUCUGUUUCAAUUUCACUUUGGAAUGAAAUCAUCUUUUCAAUAAUUUUGUCGCACACUGGUACAGCGCGUCGCAUCCUAAAAACCCAUCCUUUUGAAAUCUGGGGUCUAGCAAAAUCGCAUAUGAAACUAGUUCAAGAUUAUUUGUUUUUUUGAACCUACUUUGAAGGCCAACUAAAAGCUCAUCAACUAAUUCUAUCACCUUCGGAUGUAAUAUUUACUCUUACGUAGACAAAAAUCCCAUUGUUGAUAUUGUCACAGAUUUUUCUGCCAUAAUUUCUAUUGUCACACAUGAACAACUUCAGCAUCUUAGUAGCCUGUUCGAAAAUGUUCUAUAUGAAACUUUCAAUGUAACAAUUCAAGAUGCUAACGGAAUUCUGUUCUGUUUGAAGCGAUCUAGCAUUUCAUACGUGGAAUUCCAUCGGGUAGGACAAUCCUGUUUUAUUUUUAGUUGUGGGUGAUUUAAAUUGGUUUGCAUUUCAGACAACUUUAGGGCAGCUUUAGAACUUUUCUUGAAAUGCAUUACGAUGCUUUUUACAUUUUCCGUUGUAGAUUUUAUCUUUCGCAGGGCUUGUUGAACAACCAAAUUCAAAGUGUGAGCGCCACACGGACGAUGUGGCAGGUUUAAGAUUGCUGCAGCUGACUUCAUAUUGGUGGCAUUAUCUGUCACCAAAGCUUGUUGUUGAUUUUAAAGGCGUCGGUUAUAUUUGUUAUCCAGUCAGCUACAUUACUUCCCGUAUGGUUUAUAGAAAUUUCGAACAUUGCAAAAAAUACGAACACAGUUCUAAUUUAAUGUCCAUAAAAUCGGCCGUCAUUGCAAAAAAAAAUCAAAUUGUUAAUGCUUGUCCAACAAUCUGCUGUCACUGCAAUAUCUGAAGCCAGACGGUUCCGACGGUUCCAGACGGUUCCGAUAGUUCCAGACAGUUCCGAUGAUUCCGGACGGUUCCGGACGAUUCCGGAUAGUUCGGAUGGUCCCGACGGUUCCGAACGGUUCCGGACGGUUCCGGAUGGUUCCAGGUGGAACCAACGAUUCAUUUCCUCGGAAUUGGAACUGGAAUGACACCGGCGGGAACCUCAAAGACCCAAAGCCUCUAUAAAUAAACGAAAAAAACACCGGUCGGAACCGGAUCAGAAUCGUGGGUCCGUUCCAGGGAACCCAUCACUAUUAUAUAGAUUUUGGUCUUAAGCAUGACAACGUGUGAUGGGUGAACAGUUUUGUUCUGCUAGUCAUUCGAGUAAUAAUUAAUCUAUUUUUGCGUUGUGCUUCAAAGUGUUGGUUUUUCAACGAUCGGCACACACGCACGUCAUCGACCUGCCGAAGUGGCAAACAAAUGAUGGCGUCCAAGAUUGGUACUACGGGCGAAUGACAUGGGUUAGAAAGGUUGUGUUACAGGGUUCACCGAUAGAUAGCAUACGGCGAGCAUACCUUAGCGGUUCGCGCAAACGUUUAAGACAUCUGCGGCCAUCGAUAGCGAUUCGCAUGUACAAUUAGCGAAUGGCCCAAAAUGGAUAGCGAUUCGCGUGCACACUUUAGUGAAUGUCAGAAUUCGGCGCGGUUUGAAAAUAUAGGUUUAUAUGACCCAGGACUCCUCAAGUCGAGAUUGGAAAAAAUCGUUUAAAUUUCGUUUUUUAUGUAAUUGGAAAGUUGUUGCGCACAAAAGUGAUGUGAAAAUUAAUGUUCAUUAUUAUAAAGCAUAAAUUUAUUGAU